ensembl:lncRNA RMST rhabdomyosarcoma 2 associated transcript
GGAGUUGGAGGAAGAACUCCAACUCCAGGACUCCAACUCUAACUCCACCCUCUCUCCACCCACUCUCAACACUGUGCGGUAGUUUCAAGGGUUCCAAGACUUGCUGUGGACUAGAACUGCAAUCAGUAGAGGUAUAGAAACUGUCAGUUGCUGGAACAGGAUCCGUUUGGAAUAAGGCAGAUAAAUGCACUAAGAGACUGCUGAGAACUGAUUGGGCAUCAAGACACUGAACUGUAGGGGUGAUGAGAAGACUUUGCAUUUGACCAAAAAGCACUAGUAAAUAAGGAGUUAAAAUGAAGGCAGGCUCGCUGGUUUGCUGAGAUCUGUCAGAGUCUGACUGGCUGGCUACAUAUCUGUCUCUGGAACAAUAGGUACCUGUAUUCUGCACGGACUGCUGGGCAGCACUAGCACUCUGGAGAAGGUCUGCCGCUGUCUGCACUUUCCUGGUUCUAUGCAGGCAGAUGAGUGUCACAGCUGUAACUGAGGCACAGAGCAGUACACACAGUGGAGCCGAUUUCCGCGAUGGCGAGAGGGGGCACCGGAGGUGACAACAAUAACAAGACUGUCCUUCGGACAAGUUUUAGCGCUGAAUAUCUUCAGGAAAAUGGGUUCCAUGAGAAGUGACAUCCUCCUCGAAUCAAAAGAUUCUCAGGAUGAUGGAGUGAGUGAUGGAAUAGGUUGCCAACUGUAGUUACUCCACUCAGCACAGAAUGGCUGCGGGGAAAUAUAAUCAGACAUGCCCAAAGAAGUCUGCUUAGGGUGAAACAAAUACCUUUGAGGUUUAAAUCAGAAAGGAAGGAGAGACUGUUUCUACAGGUGUCAUACAAAAAUCAAUACUGAGCCAAGGAUUAUUGGAUCCCAUAGAACCACGGAGACUUGGUAGUGAAAUUCUUCCAAAGCAUUCCAUCCGUGCAGGCAGAUGGUGUUCCUAGGUUUGGAAAUAUAAAUCCCAUGGGAAGUCAGCUGAAGACCAUUUUAUGCAUCACUCAUCCUGUUAGAGCCCUGUGCUGUUCUGUCUCUCUAUAAGACUGGCUGAAACCACCACGGUUGUUUACAAUUUAUGCUCUAACUUUGGAUCACCUAGUUAAUACUCUAACUCCGAUUAUUACCAAAGACAAUGUUCUAUAAAAGAUAUUGUCUAUUAGAAGGAUGCUUCUGCAUUAUUAAUAAAAUCACAGGGAAAAUGCAACAUUUUGGAUGUCACAUCUGAUAAGUUGGCAGUUAAAGAACAGAAACAGCAAUAAGACUGCGUGGCUACAUUUUCCCAGUGCCACCAACUGGGAUUUAAGCUGACUAACAUUUUGAAAGCCCAGCCCAUUUCAUUCACAGCAGGAUGGCAGUGGGUGACUGAUCGUACCCGCCAGCUGGCUAAUGUCAUAAUUAACAAAGUUGCUACUACAUCUGCAAAGUUUAAUCGAAAAAUUUGCCAGUGAUAUGAUGGCCUUGUCACAGAGAUCACAAGGGACACGGAGUUGACUUUUGCUCAAGGUGGAACGACAGAGCUGUGUAGGCAAGAUGAGAAAUUGCGAACUUGUUCGGCCAAAGGAGGCUAAUAAUGAAGGGGCCGGGAAGGAGGCCAGUGCUACCAGGGUUAUCUCACAACCUCAGAUGCUGGAUAAGUCGACGGAGGCAGAAUCGCUUUGGGAUGACAUUCAGAAAGCCUGGAGUGAUUACUUGCAAGAGAAAAGCCUACCUAUUCUUUCCAAGGUGCAGGAAUAUUCCCCUGACCUGCUCAUCCAGUGGUCCAGUAAUGAAUUACUGGAGACCUGCCUUAGACAAAGAAUGCACUCGGAGCCCCAACACACCUAAAGCCAUGCUUUGAAGGAUCUGCCAAGCUCACUUUUAAUCAUGAGAAAGAAAUUACCCACACGGAGUCAGCAGAAAAUGAGAAAGUAGAGCUCGUGCUGUGAAUAAUUCCAGCAAGUGCCAAGGGGCUAGUUGAGGAAUGGCUUCAUGAGAACAUGCUCUAGGGGAACUAUUAAUAGCCCACCAGUCGGGUAGGCAGCAUUCAAUCCUUCUAUGCCUUCUUUCGCCACCUGUUGAGGUCUUUCUUCUGAAACAAAGAAGAAAUAGACAAAUCAGACUUGCCCUCUUGGAAAUGUGGUCCAGAUUUCUCUACUCCCAAGCUCCAAAAAAGGUAUACAUUGGAUGGGCUAGAUCAACUCCUCCUGAGAGCCAUAAAUCCGCCAAGAGUUGUUUUCCAUGUAAGGGUGUGGUACAAUGGGGAACACCUGAUGUUGGAGGAAAGCAGGAGGACUUUAGAGUGGAGUUGCAUUCUAAUCUCUCUGCCGCUUCAACUAUGUGACCUGGGGCAAAUGAUAUAAACUCUAUGAGCCUCUUUCCUUAUCUUUAAAAUGAAGAGAAGUAAUACCUACCUUGUAGGGCUGUUGUGAGGAUUAAAUGAAGUAAUGCAUACAGUGCCUAACAAAGUAUUUAACAUCAUAUUUUUUAAAAGCUCAUGAAAUAUUAGUUUUUCUUCCUUCCCCUCUUUCUAUUUUCUCUCCUGUUCCCUUUUCUCUCCCUCCUCUGCCCUCUCCUUCCUUCAGAUGUUAGUCUAAAACAGCACCUUGGAUCUAAGCAGCACCUUUGAGAAAGAAAAGACUGCUUCAAGAAUGUCUAGUUGCACCUCCUUUCCGUAUGUGGCCUAAAUGCCUAGGUUGGAUCAAUAGUUUAAUUUUUUUAUUGAACUGUUUAAUAUUGACUAUGGACUUACAUUCACUUUUACUGUUUUCUGUAUAUUUACUUUUGCUUGAAGUGUUUUAAUAUUGACUAUUUACCUCUGCUCAUUUUUAUUGAUUUUCUGUAUUUUUUCAAUGAAAAUUAUAAUAAAAAUUAUUUUUGUUA